rnacentral:lncRNA from 1 species
UUCAUUCAUUACCAUGGAAGACACAUAGUAGUACAUCAUUAAUAUGAUACGGUAUUAUGAUAUGAUACUCAACCCUCUCUUUCUUCAUUUAAUUCUAUGACACAUCAUCGAAAUUGCCUAGUUUACAUGCAUGAUACUACGUAUUAUACUCCCGUUACGGGAAGCCUUAGCAAUAACGCUUCAGGAGGCCCAGCCUGACGUGGUUUUAUGGUCCUGAGAGCGAGGUAGGGACUUCUGAGUUAGAUUGGCAACGCGGCCAGGUUUGCUGGCCGUAUGAUCUCUACCACAGCAGAUUUUUCAUGGAAAUAGAGGGCUCCAUUGCUCCACAUUGGACCAGUGUCGAUUGCCCGAGUGCCUGUGGCAUCAGACACCUGAAAGCAAGUACAAAAAUGGUUACUGCAGCCAGACCCGAUCCAACUGAAUAUCUGAACACCAUAUACUCACACGAGUGGAGUGGCUAUAGUUGCCGAUUUGAACGAGAAGAUGACUCGUGUUGUAUGCAUCCACUCCAUCAUCAUAUUCUUGAACAAAUGAAUGACCUAUACUCUGGUUGAAUGUGCUACGUUGCUGGUGCCUGGUGAUUAAUUUGAGCGUGCAUACAUUACAUGGAAUGGAAAUCAUCUGCUUUGUGUACGGAGUGAUUAAUAUGACAGUACAUUAUAGUGAAUGAGAAAACAAGGUAUGUGUUUCUACGGUUCGAGAUAUAAUCAUCAUCCUCAGCAACGAGGAAUCCAAAAUUGUAUUGGUUUCUAGAUCACUGGAACAAGCUAGGCCAUCGGUCUUAAUAUAUACAGUACUACACCAGCUACACAUAAGUGCCUAUGUACGUAUAGGUAUAGUGCCUCACAGUUAUUGCUAAGUACUUGACUCAAGUCUUGCAUCUUCACUCAUUACUUCCCUCUGUAUACUCUCUUCCAUGUAGAGGGAGGUCGGUCGGUUGGAAGAAACAAGUUACAAGAAGAACUACUCACAUGUUGUGUUCAUGCAUGAUACAUAUAGGUUUGAUUACAUACACCAUGAGAAGUUUUAAGAAUAGAAGGCAUCGGGAUAAAUUGUCCGAGCAUAAUCCCACGUAAAUCUGGACAUGAAGCUUGAGCCUGUGGGCUCGUCCCACACUCAUCAUGGCUCGAUUCAGAUCGGGCUUGGACCUAGACAUAAAUAGGCUGUGGUGAGGUCCUUUAUUGGCCUUAUUUGUGUCUUGAGCCAAGCUUAGUUCUAAUUGGGCUAGCUCACACGCUAAAAAACUUGUGUCUCGAUAGCUCAUUCUAGGCUAUCCUGUGGAAUGAAACCAGUUGAGGAAGACACGUUAAGUGUUGAUCACACACGUAUGGUAGGAUUCACGUCCGACUAUAUGACGGGGUCACACCCGCGCACUUCCACCCAUCGCUGCCGCGAACCCUGAACCCGCUCCUUUGUGUAUUUCCUAUCGCCUCCACUACCAAGCACAAAACACUCGGCUAAAAGUUCCUACACUCAAGCACUGGACUGCCCUCUCCCAGUUGACAACCAUCAUUUGCAUCGGUUGAUACAAAAAUCCUCUCGCAAAUUGUGGCUACAUAUUCCAAGAACGAAAAGCCUCAAAGUAAAAGAGUUGGUACCUUCUCUUGAAUCUCGAUUCAUUUCAGUAGUGUAAGGAAGUCUGAAUGCAUGAUCGAGUGAGUCCCAUAUGUGCUCAAUAUUUCUGUCACGGCAGUGGAAAAGCAAUGUCGCGAGGUAACGCCUCGCCGCGCCCAGGCCACCGGCACGACACGAAGAGCAGCCUUACAAGCCAACGUUGUUCUUGCGGGUGUAAAGGUUCCGAUCGAUGAUGCCACAUUCUACUUCAGGGAUCUAACGGAGUUUGGUGUACAUUUAAGUAUUUCACGAUAACCCUUUGACUAGCACUUAUAUGCAAGAAGAUAUUCUUCCACUAUAUGCAUUGUUGGAAUUAUGCCCUAGAGGCAAUAAUAAAUGUAUAGUUAUUAUUAUAAUUCCUGUAUCAAGAUAAUAGUUUAUUAUCCAUGCUAUAAUUGUAUUGAAUGAAGACUCAUUUACAUGUGUGGAUACAUAGACAAAACACCGUCCCUAGCAUGCCUCUAGUUGGCUAGCCAGUUGAUCGAUGAUAAUCAGUGUCUUCUGAUUAUGAACAAGGUGUUGUUGCUUGAUAACUGGAUCACGUCAUUAGGAGAAUCACGUGAUGGACUAAGACCCAAACUAAUAGACGUAGCAUGUUGAUCGUGUCAUUUUGUUGCUACUGUUUUCUGCGUGUCAAGUAUUUAUUCCUAUGACCAUGAGAUCAUAUAACUCACUGACACCGGAGGAAUGCUUUGUGUGUAUCAAACGUCGCAACGUAACUGGGUGACUAUAAAGAUGCUCUACAGGUAUCUCCGAAGGUGUUAGUUGAGUUAGUGUGGAUCAAGACUGGGAUUUGUCACUCCGUGUGACGGAGAGGUAUCUCGGGGCCCACUCGGUAAUACAACAUCACACAUAAGCCUUGCAAGCAAUGUAACUUAGUGUAAGUUGCGGGAUCUUGUAUUACGGAACGAGUAAAGAGACUUGCCGGUAAACGAGAUUGAAAUAGGUAUACGGAUACUGACGAUCGAAUCUCGGGCAAGUAACAUACCGAAGGACAAAGGGAAUAACAUACGGGAUUAUACGAAUCCUUGGCACUGAGGUUCAAACGAUAAGAUCUUCGUAGAAUAUGUAGGAUCCAAUAUGGGCAUCCAGGUCCCGCUAUUGGAUAUUGACCGAGGAGUCUCUCGGGUCAUGUCUACAUAGUUCUCGAACCCGCACGGUCUGCACACUUAAGGUUCGACGUUGUUUUAUGCGUAUUUGAGUUAUAUGGUUGGUUACCGAAUGUUGUUCGGAGUCCCGGAUGAGAUCAUGGACGUCACGAGGGUUUCCGGAAUGGUCCGGAAACAAAGAUUGAUAUAUAGGAUGACCUCAUUUGAUUACCGGAAGGUUUUCGGAGUUGCCGGGAAUGUACCGGGAAUGACGAAUGGGUUCCGGGAGUUCACCGGAGGGGGGGAACCCACUCCGGGGAAGCCCAUAGGUAUUUGUGGGGGUCACACCAGCCCUUAGUGGGCUGGUGGGACAGCCCACCAAAUCCUAUGCGCCAAGGAAGAAAAAAUCAAAGGAAGAAAAAAAAAAGAGGGAGAAGUGGGAAGGGGGAAGGACUCCCUCCCACCAAACCAAGUAGGACUCGGUUUGGGGGGGGAGAGUCCUCCCCCCUGGCUCGGCCGACCCCUUGGGGUUCCCUUGGACCCCAAGGCAAGGUCCCCCUCCCUCCUCCUAUAUAUAUGGGGCUUUUAGGGCAGAUUUGAGACGAUUUUCUCACGGCUGCCCGACCACAUACCUCCAUAGUUUUUCCUCUAGAUCGUGUUUCUGUGGAGCUCGGGCGGAGCCCUGCUGAGACAAGAUCAUCACCAACCUCCGGAGCGCCGUCACGCUGCCGGAGAACUCUUCUACCUCUCCGUCUCUCUUGCUGGAUCAAAGCGUGGGAUGAACUCUUCUACCUCUCCGUCUCUCUUGUUGGAUCAAGAAGGCCGAGAUCGUCGUCGAGCUGUGCGUGUGCUGAACGCGGAGGUGCCGUCCGUUCGGUACUAGAUCGUGGGACUGAUCGCGGGAUUGUUCGCGGGGCGGAUCGAGGGACGUGAGGACGUUCCACUACAUCAACCGCGAUCUCUAAUCGCUUCUGCUGUACGAUCUACAAGGGUACGUAGAUCACUCAUCCCCUCUCGUAGAUGGACAUCACCAUGAUAGGUCUUCGUGCGCGUAGGAAAAUUUUUGUUUCCCUUGCGACGUUCCCCAACAGUGGCAUCAUGAGCUAGGUUCAUGCGUAGAUGUCUUCUCGAGUAGAACACAAAAGGUUUUGUGGGCGGUGAUGUGCGUUUUGCUGCCCUCCUUAGUCUUUUCUUGAUUCCGCGGUAUUGUUGGAUUGAAGCGGCUUGGACCGACAUUACUCGUACGCUUACGAGAGACUGGUUUCAUCGUUACGAGUAACCCCCUUUGCUCAAAGAUGACUGGCAAGUGACGGUUUCUCCAACUUUAGUUGAAUCGGAUUUGACCGAGGAGGUCCUUGGAUGAGGUUAAAUAGCAACUCAUAUAUCUCCGUUGUGGUGUUUGCGUAAGUAAGAUGCGAUCCUACUAGAUACCCUUGGUCACCACGUAAAACAUGCAAGAACAAAAUUAGAGGACGUCUAACUUGUUUUUGCAGGGUAUGAUUGUGAUGUGAUAUGGCCAAUGAUGUGAUGUGAUAUAUUGGAUGUAUGAGAUGAUCAUGUUGUAAUAGAAAUAUCGACUUGCACGUCGAUGGUACGGCAACCGGCAGGAGCCAUAGGGUUGUCUUUAUACUAACAUAUGUGCUUGCAGAUGCGUUUACUAUUUUGCUAGGAUGUAGCUUUAGUAGUGAUAGCAUAAGUAGCACGACAACCCCGAUGGCGACACGUUGAUGGAGAUCAUGAUGAUGGAGAUCAUGGUGUGGCGCCGGUGACAAGAAGAUCGUGCCGGUGCUUUGGUGAUGGAGAUCAAGAAGCACGUGAUGAUGGCCAUAUCAUGUCACUUAUGAAUUGCAUGUGAUGUUAAUCCUUUGAUGCACCUUAUUUUGCUUAGAACGACGGUAGCAUUAUGAGGUGAUCUCUCACUAAAAUUUCAAGACGAAAUUGUGUUCUCCCCGACUAUGCACCGUUGCUACAGUUCGUCGUUUCGAGACACCACGUGAUGAUCGGGUGUGAUAGACUCAACGUUCACAUACAACGGGUGCAAAACAGUUGCGCACGCGGAACACUCGGGUUAAGCUUGACGAGCCUAGCAUGUGCAGACAUGGCCUCGGAACACAUGAGACCGAAAGGUCGAUCAUGAAUCAUAUAGAUGAUAUGAUUGGCAUAGGGAUGCUUACCACUGAAACUACUCCCGACUCACGUGAUGAUCGGACUUGGGAUAGUGUAGGUGGAUCAUGAACCACUCAAAUGACUAGAGAGAUGUACUUUUUGAGUGGGAGUUUAGCAUGUAAUUUGAUUAAGUUGAACUCUAAUUAUCUUGAACAUAGUCUAAGUCCACUUUGAAUAUAUUUGUGUUGUAGAUCAUGGCUCACGCAAGUGUCAUCCUCAAUUUUAAUACGUUCCUAGAGAAAGCUAAGUUGAAAGAUGAUGGAAGCAACUUUGUAGACUGGGCUCGUAAUCUUAAGCUAAUCUUACAAGCUGGAAAGAAGGAUUAUGUCCUUAAUGCUGCGCUAGGAGAUGAACCACCCGCUACGGCUGAUCAGGAUGUUAAGAACGCUUGGUUAGCGCGUAAGGAGGACUACUCAAUAGUUCAAUGUGCAGUCUUGUAUGGCUUAGAACCGGGACUUCAACGUUGCUUUGAGCGUCAUGGAGCAUUUGAGAUGUUCCAGGAGUUGAAGUUCAUCUUUCAGAAGAACGCCCGGAUCGAGAGGUAUGAGACCUCCGAUAAAUUCUAUGCUUGCAAGAUGGAGGAAAACUCGUCUGUCAGUGAACAUGUGCUCAAAAUGUCUGGGUACUCAAACCGUCUAGCUGAACUGGGGAUUGAACUCCCGCAAGAAGCUAUCACUGACAGAAUCCUCCAAUCACUGCCGCCAAGCUAUAAAAGCUUUGUGUUGAACUACAAACAUGCAAGGGAUGAACAAGUCUCCCGGCGAGUUGUUUGCGAUGCUGAAAGUCGCAGAGUCUGAACUCCGUAAAGAACAUCAAGUGUUGAUGGUGAGCAAGACCACUAGUUUCAAGAGAAACGGCAAAGGCAAGAAGGGCAAUUCGAAGAAGAGCGGCAAGCCUGUUGCCAAUCCACCGAAGAAACCCAAGGCUGGACCUAAGCCUGAAACAGAGUGCUUCUAUUGCAAGGGUAUGGGUCACUGGAAGCGCAAUUGCCCCAAGUAUCUGGCAGAUAAGAAGGCGGGCAAAGAAAAAUCAGGUAUAUUUGAUAUACAUGUUAUUGAUGUGUACUUAACCAGCUCUCGUAGUAGUGCCUGGGUAUUCGAUACCGGUUCUGUUGCUCACAUUUGCAACUCGAAGCAGGAACUGCGGAAUAGACGGAGGCUGGCGAAAGACGAAGUGACGAUGCGCGUAGGAAACGGUUCCAAGGUUGAUGCAAUCGCCGUCGGCACCGUGUCACUUCAACUACCAUCGGGAUUAGUGAUGAACUUAAAUCAUUGUUAUUUAGUGCCUGCGUUGAGCAUGAACAUUAUAUCUGGAUCUUGUUUAUUGCGAGACGGUUACUCUUUUAAGUCUGAGAAUAAUGGUUGUUCUAUUUCUAUGAGUAACAUCUUUUAUGGUCAUGCACCGAAUGUGAGAGGAUUGUUCAUAUUGAAUCUCGAUAGCGAUACGCAUAUACAUAACAUUGAGACCAAAAGAGUUAGAGUAAACAAUGAUAGCGCCAUAUUUUUGUGGCACUGCCGCUUGGGUCAUAUUGGUGUAAAGCGCAUGUAGAAACUCCAUGCUAAUGGACUUUUGAAGUCACUUGACUUUGAUUCACUUGACACGUGCGAACCAUGCCUCAUGGGCAAGAUGACUAAAACUCCGUUCUCCGGAACAAUGGAGCGUGCAAGUGACUUAUUGGAAAUCAUACAUACCGAUGUGUGUGGUCCGAUGAGCGUGGAGGCACGCGGCGGAUAUCGUUAUUUUCUCACCUUCACUGACGAUUUGAGUAGAUAUGGUUAUGUCUACUUAAUGAAGCACAAGUCUGAAACAUUUGAAAAUUUCAAGCAAUUUCAGAGUGAAGUAGAAAAUCAUCGUAACAAGAAGAUCAAGUUCCUACGGUCUGAUCGUGGGGGUGAAUAUCUGAGUUUCGAGUUUGGUGCUCACUUAAGACAAUGUGGAAUUGUUUCGCAGUUAACACCGCCUGGAACACCACAGCGUAAUGGUGUGUCCGAACGUCGUAAUCGUACUUUAUUAGAAAUGGUGCGAUCUAUGAUGUCUCUUACUGAUUUGCCGUUAUCGUUUUGGGGUUAUGCAUUAGAAACAGCUGCAUUCACUUUAAAUAGGGCACCAUCGAAAUCCGUUGAGACGACACCACACGAACUAUGGUAUGGCAAAAGGCCAGAGUUGUCGUUUCUUAAAGUUUGGGGAUGUGAUGCUUAUGUCAAAAAGCUUCAGCCUGAAAAGCUGGAACCCAAAGCGGAAAAGUGCGUCUUCAUAGGCUACCCAAAAGAGACAGUUGGGUACACCUUCUAUCUCAAAUCCGAGGGCAAAGUGUUUGUUGCUAAGAACGGAACUUUUCUCGAGAAGGAGUUUCUCUCGAGAGAAUUGAGUGGGAGGAAGAUAGAACUUGACGAGGUUGUCGAACCUCUCAUCCCUCUGGAUGGUGGCGCAGGGCAAGGGGAAACCCCUGUGAUUGCGACGCCAGUUGAGGAGGAAGUUAAUGAUGAUGAUCAUGAAACUCCAGUUCAAGUUUCUGUUGAACCACGCAGGUCGACGAGAUCACGCGCUGCUCCAGAGUGGUACGGUAAUCCCGUCUUGACAAUCAUGUUGUUAGACAACAAUGAACCUGCAAAUUAUGAAGAAGCAAUGGUGGGCCCAGAUUCCAACAAAUGGCUAGAAGCCAUGAAAUCCGAGAUAGGAUCCAUGUAUGAGAACAAAGUAUGGACUUUGGAGAUACUACCUGAGGGCCGCAAGGCUAUUCAGAACAAAUGGAUUUUUAAGAAGAAGACGGACGCUGACGGUAAUGUGACCGUUUAUAAAGCUCGACUUGUGGCAAAGGGUUUUUCACAAGUUCCAGGAAUUGACUACGAUGAGACUUUCUCUCCCGUAGCGAUGCUUAAGUCCGUCAGAAUCAUGUUAGCAAUAGCUGCAUUUUUCGAUUAUGAAAUUUGGCAGAUGGAUGUCAAAACGGCGUUCCUUAACGGUUUCCUUAAGGAAGAGUUGUAUAUGAUGCAACCCGAAGGUUUUGUCGAUCCUAAAAAUGCUAACAAGGUGUGCAAACUCCAGCGAUCCAUUUAUGGACUGGUGCAAGCAUCUCGGAGUUGGAACAAACGCUUUGAUGAGGUGAUCAAAGCAUUUGGGUUUAUACAAGUGGUUGGAGAAUCUUGUAUUUACAAGAAAGUGAGUGGGAGCUCUGUGGCGUUUCUAAUAUUAUAUGUGGAUGACAUAUUACUGAUUGGAAACAACGUAGAGCUUUUGGAGAGCAUAAAAGGUUACUUGAAUAAAAGUUUCUCUAUGAAGGACCUAGGAGAAGCUGCUUACAUUCUAGGCAUUAAGAUCUAUAGGGAUAGAUCAAAACGCCUGAUAGGACUUUCACAAAGCACAUACCUUGAUAAAGUUUUGAAGAGGUUCAAAAUGGAACAGUCCAAGAAAGGGUUCUUGCCAGUGUUACAAGGUACGAGAUUGAGUAAGACUCAGUGCCCAGCAACUGAUGAAGAUAGAGAGCAUAUGCGCUCCGUCCCCUAUGCUUCAGCCAUAGGCUCUAUCAUGUAUGCGAUGCUGUGCACUAGACCGGAUGUUAGCCUGGCCAUAAGUAUGGUAGGCAGGUUCCAGAGUAAUCCAGGAGUGGAUCACUGGACAGCGGUCAAGAAUAUCCUAAAGUACCUGAAAAGGACUAAGGAGAUGUUUCUCGUGUAUGGAGGUGACGAAGAGCUCGCCGUAAAAGGUUACGUCGAUGCAAGCUUUGACACAGAUCCGGACGACUCUAAGUCGCAAACCGGAUACGUAUUUAUUCUUAAUGGGGGUGCAGUAAGCUGGUGCAGUUCCAAGCAAAGCGUCGUAGUAGAUUCUACAUGUGAAGCGGAAUACAUGGCUGCCUCGGAGGCGGCUAAGGAGGGUGUCUGGAUGAAGCAGUUCAUGACGGAUCUUGGAGUGGUGCCAAGUGCACUGGAUCCAAUAACCUUGUUCUGUGACAACACUGGUGCCAUUGCCUUAGCAAAGGAACCAAGGUUUCACAAGAAGACCAGACACAUCAAACGACGCUUCAACCUCAUCCGCGACUACGUCGAGGAGGAGGACGUAAAUAUAUGCAAAGUGCACACGGAUCUGAAUGCAUGAUACAUAUAGGUUUGAUUACAUACACCAUGAGAAGUUUUAAGAAUAGAAGGCAUCGGGAUAAAUUGUCCGAGCAUAAUCCCACGUAAAUCUGGACAUGAAGCUUGAGCCUGUGGGCUCGUCCCACACUCAUCAUGGCUCGAUUCAGAUCGGGCUUGGACCUAGACAUAAAUAGGCUGUGGUGAGGUCCUUUAUUGGCCUUAUUUGUGUCUUGAGCCAAGCUUAGUUCUAAUUGGGCUAGCUCACACGCUAAAAAACUUGUGUCUCGAUAGCUCAUUCUAGGCUAUCCUGUGGAAUGAAACCAGUUGAGGAAGACACGUUAAGUGUUGAUCACACACGUAUGGUAGGAUUCACGUCCGACUAUAUGACGGGGUCACACCCGCGCACUUCCACCCAUCGCUGCCGCGAACCCUGAACCCGCUCCUUUGUGUAUUUCCUAUCGCCUCCACUACCAAGCACAAAACACUCGGCUAAAAGUUCCUACACUCAAGCACUGGACUGCCCUCUCCCAGUUGACAACCAUCAUUUGCAUCGGUUGAUACAAAAAUCCUCUCGCAAAUUGUGGCUACAUAUUCCAAGAACGAAAAGCCUCAAAGUAAAAGAGUUGGUACCUUCUCUUGAAUCUCGAUUCAUUUCAGUAGUGUAAGGAAGUCUGAAUGCAUGAUCGAGUGAGUCCCAUAUGUGCUCAAUAUUUCUGUCACGGCAGUGGAAAAGCAAUGUCGCGAGGUAACGCCUCGCCGCGCCCAGGCCACCGGCACGACACGAAGAGCAGCCUUACAAGCCAACGUUGUUCUUGCGGGUGUAAAGGUUCCGAUCGAUGAUGCCACAUUCUACUUCAGGGAUCUAACGGAGUUUGGUGUACAUUUAAGUAUUUCACGAUAACCCUUUGACUAGCACUUAUAUGCAAGAAGAUAUUCUUCCACUAUAUGCAUUGUUGGAAUUAUGCCCUAGAGGCAAUAAUAAAUGUAUAGUUAUUAUUAUAAUUCCUGUAUCAAGAUAAUAGUUUAUUAUCCAUGCUAUAAUUGUAUUGAAUGAAGACUCAUUUACAUGUGUGG